CCCUGUAUUCGAAAGUGAUUCUGGGCUGCCUGUGCCCUGGUCAUUGAUACUGCAGGGAGAGGAUGCUGAAAGCCUUUUCCCCGUGUUUGGAAGGUCUGUCCUUGCCAAACCCUGGUGCUUUCAAACA
ensembl:snoRNA SNORA71 Small nucleolar RNA SNORA71